UGGUAAAAUGUGAUGUACCUAGUAAUAUUAGUGAUUAAUAUGAGGCUAACCGAGUUAGUUAAAAUUCUAAGUAUAUAUGUGAUUAUGACAAUAUGUGCUUAUUUCUUGACCAAGUCACGUGCCAGCCGUCGCGGUAAUACGUGGAAGAUCAGUGUUAUUCAUCUUUAUCAGGUUUAAAGGGUACCUAGACGGUUAAUUAAGCUUUAGUAGGAACUAAUUAACUAGAGUUUAAUGUAAGAAUGAUUGAGUACGGUGAGUGUAGAGAUAAAAUUCUGUCAUACCACUUAGGAACUGGUAAAAGCGAAGGCAACUUUCUAUGUAAAAACUGACGUUAAGGGACGAAGGCUCGUAUCAAAUAACAGGAUUAGAUACCCCAGCAUUGUGGGCAGACAAUGAUGAGUGUCAUAUGCAAGAGAUAAAAAAAAAUAUUUUGUGUAUAAAUGAAAGUGUAAGCACUCCACCUCAAGAGUAACGUGGCAACAUGGGAACUGAAAUCAUUAGACCGUUUCUGAAACUCGUAGUGAAGUAUGUUGUUUAAUUAGAUGGUGCACAAAUAACCUUACCACAAUUUGUAUAACUAUAGUACAUAAUAAUAAUAUAGUUACAAGCGUUGCACGGCUGUCUUUAGUCUAUGUUGUGAAACUGUGGUUAGAUCCAUUAAAUAGACGUAAACCCUUACUUUAUUUAUUAUAAAGUAGUUCGCCGCUAUAUUGGUAGUGAUAUAAGGGACUAGGACAAGUCAUCAUGACCUGAACAUUGU
rnacentral:rRNA from 2 species